rnacentral:rRNA from 1 species
GAUGGACGCUGGCGGCGUGCCUAAUACAUGCAAGUCGAGCGAACAGAUGAGGAGCUUGCUCCUCUGACGUUAGCGGCGGACGGGUGAGUAACACGUGGAUACCCUACCUAUAAGACUGGGAUAACUUCGGGAAACCGGAGCUAAUACCGGAUAAUAUAUUGAACCGCAUGGUUCAAUAGUGAAAGACGGUUUUGCUGUCACUUAUAGAUGGAUCCGCGCCGCAUUAGCUAGUUGGUAAGGUAACGGCUUACCAAGGCAACGAUGCGUAGCCGACCUGAGAGGGUGAUCGGCCACACUGGAACUGAGACACGGUCCAGACUCCUACGGGAGGCAGCAGUAGGGAAUCUUCCGCAAUGGGCGAAAGCCUGACGGAGCAACGCCGCGUGAGUGAUGAAGGUCUUCGGAUCGUAAAACUCUGUUAUUAGGGAAGAACAAAUGUGUAAGUAACUAUGCACGUCUUGACGGUACCUAAUCAGAAAGCCACGGCUAACUACGUG